UGUGUCUGUCUGAGUAGAUCCUUCUGCAAGAUCAGUACCUUAUACUGCAAGCUCUCUAGGGCAUAGAUCAUGUCCCAGUGUGAGUUGUGUACAACAUUCUGUAUAUUUACAGUGCUGGUUUAUAAUUAUAUAAAAUGUAUCAAUACCAUUUUAAGAUGAGUCACUUGUUACUAUUCACAUAGGGCUGGAUCAUGCUCCUUUUGAUGUCCAUGGUAAAAUCACUAGCAGACUUCACUAGGAACGGAAGAUGAAAGCACCAGAUUCAAAGGUAAAUCAAAGGAAAAUGACAAUCCAGAGGACAUGACAUCCCUGACAGCACAUCAGCAGUCUAAAUGUUUGACGGAUCCAGUAAGCCACUUCAAAGGCACCAACAUGAAUGCCCUGUAACCAGCUGCUCCUUUACGGAAAAAUUUCUGAAAAUGCCAUCCAAAGAGGAAAAAAGAAACAGUUGGACCUGUUUGAUUUUGGACCAGAACUAUACUUACCUACAUGCUUCCAGCUUUCAUCCAGACCACAUCACACAAUCCAUUGUCUACAGCCAAGCCCUAAGAUACAACCGCAUUUUCUCCAAUCCCUCAGACAGAGACAAACACCUACAGGAUCUCCAUCAAGCAUACUUAAAACUACAAUACCCACCUGAGAAGUGAAGAAACAGAUUGACAGAGCCAUAAAUCACCUACUACAGGACAGGCACAAAAAGAAAGUAACAGAACGCCACUAGCCAUCACCUUCAGCCCCCAACUAAAACCUCUCCAGCGCACCAUCAAGGAUCUACAACCUAUCUUGGAGGAUGAUCCCUCACUCUCACAGACCUUGGGAGACCGGCCAGUCCUCGCUUACAGACAGCCCCCCAACCUGAAGCAAAUACUCACCAGCAACUACACACCACGCAACUGAAACACU
ensembl:lncRNA